rnacentral:rRNA from 1 species
GACGAACGCUGGCGGCGCGCCUAAUACAUGCAAGUCGAGGGAGAACCGAACCUUCGGGUUCGGGGAGACCGGCGAACGGGUGAGUAACACGUGAGGAACCUGCCCUGUAGACCGGAAUAACCACGGGAAACUGUGGCUAAUGCCGGAUACUCUCGAACUCCCGCAUGGGGGUUCGGAGGAAAUGGUCCGCCGCUACAGGAUGGCCUCGCGGCCUAUCAGCUUGUUGGUGGGGUGAUGGCCUACCAAGGCGACGACGGGUAGCCGGCCUGAGAGGGCGACCGGCCACACUGGGACGUGAGGACACGGCCCAGACUCCUACGGGAGGGCAGCAGUUGGGGAAUCUUGCGCAAUGGGGCGAAAAGCCUGACGCAGCGACGCCGCGUGAGGGAU